GGUGAACGCUGGCGGCGUGCCUAAUACAUGCAAGUCGAGCGAACUGAUUAGAAGCUUGCUUCUAUGACGUUAGCGGCGGACGGGUGAGUAACACGUGGGUAACCUGCCUGUAAGACUGGGAUAACUUCGGGAAACCGAAGCUAAUACCGGAUAGGAUCUUCUCCUUCAUGGGAGAUGAUUGAAAGAUGGUUUCGGCUAUCACUUACAGAUGGGCCCGCGGUGCAUUAGCUAGUUGGUGAGGUAACGGCUCACCAAGGCAACGAUGCAUAGCCGACCUGAGAGGGUGAUCGGCCACACUGGGACUGAGACACGGCCCAGACUCCUACGGGAGGCAGCAGUAGGGAAUCUUCCGCAAUGGACGAAAGUCUGACGGAGCAACGCCGCGUGAGUGAUGAAGGCUUUCGGGUCGUAAAACUCUGUUGUUAGGGAAGAACAAGUACAAGAGUAACUGCUUGUACCUUGACGGUACCUAACCAGAAAGCCACGGCUAACUACGUGCCAGCCGCCGCGGUAA
rnacentral:rRNA from 1 species